rnacentral:rRNA from 1 species
ACACGCUUACAACAUAGCGUUAAUGCACCAGAUCCCAUUAGAACUCCGCAGUUAAGCACACUCAAGCUAGAGUAGAACUAGGAUGGGUGAUCGCCUGGGAAGUCCUAAUGUUUUACAUGCC